CCAAUAGCGUAUAUUAAAGUUGUUGCAGUUAAAAAGCUCGUAGUUGAAUUUCGGGAUUAGUACGCUGGUCGUGCCUUCGGUAUGUACUGGUGUUACUGGUUCCUACCUUCUGACGAACCGUCAUGUCAUUAAUUUGGUGUGGCGGGAAAUCAGGACUGUUACUUUGAAAAAAUUAGAGUGUUUAAAGCAGGCCCGCGCUUGAAUACAUUAGCAUGGAAUAAUGAAAUAGGACGUUCGAUCCUAUUUUGUUGGUUUCUAGGAUUGACGUAAUGAUUAAUAGGGAUAGUUGGGGGCAUUAGUAUUCAAUUGUCAGAGGUGAAAUUCUUGGAUUUAUUGAAGACUAACUUCUGCGAAAGCAUUUGCCAAGGAUGUUUUCAUUAAUCAAGAACGAAAGUUAGGGGAUCGAAGACGAUCAGAUACCGUCGUAGUCUUAACCAUAAACUAUGCCGACUAGGGAUCGGAUGAUGUUAAUUUUUUAAUGACUCAUUCGGCGCCUUACG
rnacentral:misc_RNA from 1 species